UAGAGCUAAUACAUGCUAAAAACCCCGACUUCAGGAAGGGGUGUAUUUAUUAGAUAAAAAACCAACGCCCUUCGGGGCUCCUUGGUGAAUCAUAAUAACUUAACGAAUCGCAUGGCCUUGCGCCGGCGAUGGUUCAUUCAAAUUUCUGCCCUAUCAACUUUCGAUGGUAGGAUAGUGGCCUACCAUGGUGGCAACGGGUAACGGGGAAUUAGGGUUCGAUUCCGGAGAGGGAGCCUGAGAAACGGCUACCACAUCCAAGGAAGGCAGCAGGCGCGCAAAUUACCCMAUCCCGAUACGGGGAGGUAGUGACAAUAAAUACUGAUACGGGGCUCUUUUGGGUCUCGUAAUUGGAAUGAGAACAAUUUAAAUCCCUUAACGAGGAACAAUUGGAGGGCAAGUCUGGUGCCAGCAGCCGCGGUAAUUWCAGCUCCAAUAGCGUAUAUUAAAGWUGUUGCAGUUAAAAAGCUCGUAGUUGAACCYUGGGUCUGGCUGGCCGSUCCSCCUCACCGCGMGUACUGGUCCGGCUGG
rnacentral:rRNA from 1 species